rnacentral:misc_RNA from 1 species
UCUCCGUUGGUGAACCAGCGGAGGGAUCAUUACCAGAGUUUUACAACUCCCAACCCUUCUGUGAACCUGCCCAUAGUUGCUUCGGCGGACCCGCCCCAGAGUCCGGACGGGCCAGCGCCGUCCCGCGACCUGGACCCAGGCGGCCGCCUGGGACGACGCAACCCUGUAUCUGUUAGCCUUUCUGAAUCCGCCGCAAGGCAACACAAACGAAUCAAAACUUUCAACAACGGAUCUCUUGGUUCUG